rnacentral:rRNA from 1 species
UGGGGAAUAUUGGACAAUGGGCGCAAGCCUGAUCCAGCAUGCCGCGUGCAGGAAGAAGGCCUUCGGGUUGUAAAGCCUUUUGUACGGAGCGAAAAGCUCUCUCUAAUACAGGGGGUUCAUGACGGUACUCGUAGAUAAGCAGGCUAACUACGUGCCAGCAGCCGCGGUAAUACGUAGGGUGCGAGCGUUAAUCGGAAUUACUGGGGUAAAGCGUGCGCAGGCGGUUUUGUAAGUACAGGACGUGAAAUCCCGGGCUCAACUGGGCAAUGCGUCUUGUAACUGCAAAGCUGGAGUGCGGCAGAGGGG